UAAUAACUGAACGUGCAGACGGUACAUCAUAAUGCAGUGUAUACGUUCGGUGAAUGGCGGGUAGAUAUGGUGCAAAAGCAAUAAUUGAGAAGUAGUAGACAAUUAUUAGUGAGGGUAAAAGCAGGUCAAAGAAACGUGUCCCUAGCUGGAUUUGAACCUGAGACCCCAUAUUCCCAAGACUGUAACCUUACCCAGUAGGCCACAGGCAGAUUAGCUGUUUGAAGUGGAAAUGUUUCAGAAUAAGAAGGUCUGCCAAUUUUGGUCAGAACCCACUUGUGUAUCUGAUCUGGUGUGUUCAGGUGUCCUGAGACAGGGGGAGCUAUUUCUAAAAUGAGUUCCUCAGAGGAGACCGAGACUGAUGAUGGAACCCACGGCCCUGUGAGAAAGAGGGUCCAGGUAAAGAAGGCAGAGUCACCUGUACCCAGCUGUUUGUCUGUGAAGAGUGACC